rfam:Triticum urartu cultivar G1812 contig801657, whole genome shotgun sequence.
GUGGAUAUAGCUCAAUGGUAGAGUAACUAUUUGUGGCAUAGUUGAUUAAGGUUCGAUCCCUUAUUUUCACC